rnacentral:rRNA from 1 species
AUUGAACGCUGGCGGCAUGCCUUACACAUGCAAGUCGAACGGUAACGGGUCCUUCGGGAUGCCGACGAGUGGCGAACGGGUGAGUAAUAUAUCGGAACGUGCCCAGUAGUGGGGGAUAACUGCUCGAAAGAGCAGCUAAUACCGCAUACGACCUGAGGGUGAAAGGGGGGGAUCGCUAGACCUCUCGCUAUUGGAGCGGCCGAUAUCAGAUUAGCUAGUUGGUGGGGUAAAGGCCUACCAAGGCAACGAUCUGUAGUUGGUCUGAGAGGACGGCCAGCCACACUGGGACUGAGACACGGCCCAGACUCCGACGGGAGGCAGCAGUGGGGAAUUUUGGACAAUGGGCGCAAGCCUGAUCCAGCAAUGCCGCGUGCAGGAAGAAGGCCUUCGGGUUGUAAACUGCUUUUGUCAGGGAAGAAAUCUUCUGGGCUAAUACCCCGGGAGGAUGACGGUACCUGAAGAAUAAGCACCGGCUAACUACGUGCCAGCAGCCGCAGUAAAAC